rnacentral:rRNA from 1 species
AUUGAACGCUGGCGGCAGGCCUAACACAUGCAAGUCGAGCGGAUGAAGGGAGCUUGCUUCUGGAUUCAGCGGCGGACGGGUGAGUAAUGCCUAGGAAUCUGCCUGGUAGUGGGGGAUAACGUCCGGAAACGGGCGCUAAUACCGCAUACGUCCUGAGAGAGAAAGUGGGGGAUCUUCGGACCUCACGCUAUCAGAUGAGCCUAGGUCGGAUUAGCUAGUUGGUGGGGUAAAGGCCUACCAAGGCGACGAUCCGUAACUGGUCUGAGAGGAUGAUCAGUCACACUGGAACUGAGACACGGUCCAGACUCCUACGGGAGGCAGCAGUGGGGAAUAUUGGACAAUGGGCGAAAGCCUGAUCCAGCCAUGCCGCGUGUGUGAAGAAGGUCUUCGGAUUGUAAAGCACUUUAAGUUGGGAGGAAGGGCAGUAAGUUAAUACCUUGCUGUUUUGAUGUUACCAACAGAAUAAGCACCGGCUAACUUCGUG